rnacentral:rRNA from 1 species
AUUGAACGCUGGCGGCAGGCCUAACACAUGCAAGUCGAGCGGCAGCGGGAGAAGUUUACUUCUUGCCGGCGAGCGGCGGACGGGUGAGUAAGGCAUGGGAAUCUGCCCAGUUGAGGGGGAUAACUGCUGGAAACGGCAGCUAAUACCGCAUAAUCCCUACGGGGUAAAGAAGGGGACCGGUUUACCGGCCUUUCGCGACUGGAUGAGCCCAUGUAAGAUUAGCUAGUUGGUGAGGUAAAGGCUCACCAAGGCGACGAUCUUUAGCUGGUUUGAGAGGAUGAUCAGCCACACUGGAACUGAGACACGGUCCAGACUCCUACGGGAGGCAGCAGUGGGGAAUAUUGCACAAUGGGCGCAAGCCUGAUGCAGCCAUGCCGCGUGUGUGAAGAAGGCUUUUUCGGGUUGU